CGUAGGUGGCAAGCGUUGUCCGGAUUUAUUGGGUUUAAAGGGUGCGUAGGCGGCCUAUUAAGUCAGUGCUGAAAUAUCCCGGCUUAACCGGGAGGGUGGCAUUGAUACUGAUGGGCUUGAGUAGAGUCGAGGUAGGCGGAAUUGACGGUGUAGCGGUGAAAUGCUUAGAUAUCGUCAAGAACACCGAUAGUGUAGACAGCUUACUAGGCUCAAACUGACGCUGAGGCACGAAAGUGUGGGGAUCAAACAGGAUUAGAUACCCUGGUAGUCCACACUGUAAACGUUGAUUACUCGCUGUUGGCGAUAUACAGCCAGCGGCUUAGCGAAAGCGAUAAGUAAUCCACCUGGGGAGUACGCCGGCAACGGUG
rnacentral:rRNA from 1 species